rnacentral:rRNA from 1 species
AGUGAACGCUGGCGGUAGGCCUAACACAUGCAAGUCGAACGGCAGCACAGUAAGAGCUUGCUCUUACGGGUGCCGAGUGGCGGACGGGUGAGGAAUACCUCGGAAUCUACUUUUUCGUGGGGGCUAACGUAGGGAAACUUACGCUAAUACCGCAUACGACCUACGGGUGAAAGCUGGGGAUCUUCGGCCCUUGCGCGAUUGUAUGAGCCGAUGUCGGAUUAGCUAGUUGGCGGGGUAAAGGCCCACCAAGGCGACGAUCCGUAGCUGGUCUGAGAGGAGGAUCGGCCACACUGGAACUGAGACACGGUCCAGACUCGUACGGGAGGCAGCAGGGGGGAAUAUUGGAAAAUGGGCGCAAGCCUGAUCCAGCCAUACGGCGUGGGUGAAGAAGGCCUUCGGGUUGUAAAGCCCUUUUGUUGGGAAAGAAAAGCAGCAGGUUAAUACCCGGCUGUUCUGACGGUACCCAAAGAAUAAGCACCGGCAAACUUCGU